rnacentral:tRNA from 1 species
GUUUUUAUAAUUUAAAGAAAAUAUUAGUCUUGUAAACUAAAUUUAAGUAAACACUUUAAAAACA